rnacentral:misc_RNA from 1 species
UUGGUUAGAGCGCGCGCUUGAUAAGCGUGAGGUCGGAAGUUCAAGUCUUCCCAGGCCCACCACUUUCAUCGAGUGAGCAUUCGUCUUCUGGUUACGGGGCCAUAGCUCAGCUGGGAGAGCGCGUGCUUUGCAAGCAUGAGGUCGUCGGUUCGAUCCCGUCUGGCUCCACCAGAUGGUUUGAUCAUCGACUGAUCGUGCACCUAAAUCGUCCGCGAAACAUCACUUCGCACUUGCUAGUCCGGAUGGACAGCAGGCUGCGUGAUUUCUGACAUCGUAAAGAGGAGAUCGAUCCGAGUUGGAUCGUGCAGAGGAUUUCUGCGCGAUACUUCAUUAUCUCCGGAUCAUUUCGGCGCUCACGCGUCCUUCAAGGUCAAACUUGAAAGACGGGCGAGUUGUAAAUGAUCCUUUUAGCGAAGCUUGACCGCCUCGCUAUCGGAACGAUCUUACGAAGCAAGCUGGUCUUUCUAAUCAUUGUCCGGCUGCAGAUAGCGUUCAUCGAGGGCGCGUGCCGCAAGGCAGUUCUGCAGACAACAUUCUGCCGAGUGUGUGGACAUUGAUAAUGAGAGCAAUCAAGUGCCUUAAGGGUGUUCGGUGGAUGCCUUGGCGCUGAGAGGCGAUGAAGGACGUGCUACGCUGCGAUAAGCCGUGGGGAGCUGCGAAGAAGCUUUGAUCCGCGGAUUUCCGAAUGG